rnacentral:rRNA from 1 species
GUCCACGCCCUAAACGAUGUCAACUGGUUGUUGGGGAAGGAAACUUCCUUAGUAACGAAGCUAACGCGUGAAGUUGACCGCCUGGGGAGUACGGCCGCAAGGUUAAAACUCAAAGGAAUUGACGGGGACCCGCACAAGCGGUGGAUGAUGUGGAUUAAUUCGAUGCAACGCGAAAAACCUUACCUACCCUUGACAUGCCAGGAAGCUUGCUGAGAGGCGAGUGUGCCCGAAAGGGAGCCUGGACACAGGUGCUGCAUGGCUGUCGU